GGCAUGAAAUAAUCAUCUGAAAUUAUAUGCUAUUGAAAAUCAUUGGAGGAGCCGCGCAGCUCAGUUGAGAGUGACACGCACCAACUCCAGCUCCUCGCCGGGAAGACUUCAUCCCAGCAACUCGGAAUGCUUGGCCCGGGCGGCACUCGGCCUCUCCGCAGCAGUUCUCGAACUGGCCUCCUUGAACGUCCGCUUCGCCUUCGCUUCUGCAACCUGGAUCUGGGGGACUGCGGGCCAGGCGCGGCGUGACCCCUGGUGAACGGUGGCCGCCUUUUCCCACCCCUGCCCUCCCAUCCUCCCUUCCCGUUUCACCCCGCCCCCUCUCUCCUCCCCAAGCCUGACAGCCCGCGAGCUGCCAAGCAGGGCGCAG
rnacentral:lncRNA from 1 species